CCCCUGCUGUACUAGUGGCUAGGAUUCCUAGUUUUCAUCCAGGCUGCCCAGGUUCAAUUCCUGGGUAGGGAA
rnacentral:tRNA from 1 species